rnacentral:rRNA from 1 species
AACGUAGGAGACAAACGUUAUCCGGAAUUAUUGGGCGUAAAGAGCUCGUAGGCGGUUUGUCGCGUCUGCCGUGAAAGUCCGGGGCUCAACUCCGGAUCUGCGGUGGGUACGGGCAGACUAGAGUUCGGUAGGGGAGACUGGAAUUCCUGGUGUAGCGGUGAAAUGCGCAGAUAUCAGGAGGAACACCGGUGGCGAAGGCGGGUCUCUGGGCCGAAACUGACGCUGAGGAGCGAAAGCGUGGGGAGCAAACAGG